rnacentral:rRNA from 1 species
CGUGGGGUGCAAGCAUUAUCCGGAUUUACUGGGCGUAAAGCGUACCGUCGGCGACCUGAUAAGUUCUUCGUUCAAGCCUGGGGCUCAACUCCAGACCAGCGGAGAAAACUAUCGGGAUUGAGUAUGUUCGGGGGACUUGGAAUUCUCGGUGGAGGGGUGAAAUCCGUAGAUAUCGAGAGGAACGCCAAGCGCGAAGGCAGGGUCCUAGGACAUUACUGACGCUCAGGGACGAAAGCUUGGGGAGCAAACGGGAUUAGAGACCCCGGUAGUCCAAGCCGUAAACAUUGAAUGCUAGUUGUUUCACUUCGGUGGAAUGACGUAAGCUAACGCGUUAAGCAUUCCGCCUGGGGAGUACGGCCGCAAGGCUA